rnacentral:rRNA from 1 species
AGGACGAACGCUGGCGGCGUGCUUAACACAUGCAAGUCGAGCGGUAAGGCCUUUCGGGGUACACGAGCGGCGAACGGGUGAGUAACACGUGGGUGAUCUGCCCUGCACUCUGGGAUAAGCCUGGGAAACUGGGUCUAAUACCGGAUAUGACCUGCUCUCGCAUGGGGGUGGGUGGAAAGAUUUAUUGGUGCAGGAUGGGCCCGCGGCCUAUCAGCUUGUUGGUGGGGUAAUGGCCUACCAAGGCGACGACGGGUAGCCGACCUGAGAGGGUGACCGG